GUUUGGGUUGUACCAAGUCCUUUUGUGCUAGUACUUAGUGCAUUAGUUAACCGUGCUAAUAACGGCCAUAUCGCUGCCACAUGAAUAAUAUUUACAGAUAUUAAACCCUAAGUGCUAAAAGUGUUUUAGGCUAAUUGUUACAUUACAACUAAACAUUUCAUACUUCGUUGUUAUGGAAACCGAGCGGCCGAGCAAGAUACACCAGGGUUUGAUUCACCCAACAGACCGUUUCCUCUUUGUCUCUGGUCUGAUACACAAUGCUUCAGUUUACAACUCUCUCUGUGUUUCUCUGUGUCAUGGGUUUGCUCUCAGAGACUCUGAGCUCUUUAACUUUGGAGGCAGAAGCUGGAGAUAACGUCACUAUUUGGUGCCAACAUGAUCUGAAAUGGUCGGAUAAAAUUUUCUGGUUUAAACACACAGGUGAUUCAGUAAAGAUCAUCAAAUAAAAAUUCAUUAAAUAUGACCUUUGGGGAAACAAAAUUCCUAGGCUGCUUACAUACUGUAAAGUUAAAAGAGACUGUUUUCAUGAGCCCACUGGUGCAAACACAGACCAGCUAGCCGAAGACAGACGGAAGAAUGCCGACUGAUAUGCUGAGCUAGUAAGACUCAUAGAUGAUAAAAGCCUAUCCCUGAUAAGACAUGAAGCUGCUGAUAAUGGCAGGAAAGCCAGGAGAAUUCUGAAAGACCAUUAUUUGGGGAAAAGCAAACCACGUAUAAUAAAUAUGUAAACAUCGUUAACCAAGCUACGCAUGGCGGACAAUGAGAGUGUUACUGACUACUUAAUAAGAGCAGAGAACAUCAUCACAGCCGUUGGAGAUGCAGGAGAAGCCAUGAGUGAUGGGCUGACAAAAACUCUGAUUCUUAGCAGAUUACCAGACUCUUUCAAGCCGCUAGCUGUCCACAUAAUGCAAAAUGAGGACAAUUUUACAUUCACAGACUUUAAAAGAAGACUACGGAUCUAUGAGGAGUUGGAGAAGAUGAAAAAGAACAGAAUCUACAGACAAUGUGAUGAAAGCACACAGGAGACAGAGACGAGGCCCUAACAAGUUACACACUAACAACAGAUAAGAUGAAGAUACCAGUGUGACAUGUUACAAAUGUGGAAUAAAAAGACACAAAGCAAGAAAAUGUUUCGGAAAAGUGUGGUGCAAUCACUGCAAAAAUGGUACACAUGCACAAUCCCUGUGCAAGAACAGGACGGUGCCAGAAAAGUUGCAGACAAACAAGAUAGCGACCAAGACCAUUUCUAAGAACACAUAGAAAAUGGAAUGGACCACUGGAAUGGACCUCCGGACAACAUAAAAAUGAAAGGCAUCAUCAUAGACAUGGGAGUGACGUCCCAUAACAUGAACGACAUCAGAAAGCUUCAACAGUUUGUUCCAGCCAGAGACUCAUUCAGUGGAGUUAGCUGAUGGGACAAAGUGCAGCGAAAUGGUGCAACAAAGAGGAAUGGCAGUGAUUUAUCUCCUAGACAUCACUGGACGAUUCCACAGAGCACAGCUAUUGGACGCACUGUACAUGCCUUCGUACCCACAUGACAUUUUCUCAGUGGCAAGGGCAACAAAUAGAGGACCAACAAUCAAUUUCGUAAAUGGGGAAAAGUCACAUGGUUCCCAAAGGUGGUAGCAGGUUUGACAUCCAUGAGAAUGGAAAUUUGUAUGGGAAUAUUGACCAGUGAAAAGUGUGUCAUGACUUUCAAACUUGGCAUGAAAUUUUGGGUCAUUGUACUAAUGAACAUUUACAAAAGUUACAAGGUGUAGUGAGAAGUAUGGAGAUAAAAGGGACCACAGUCAAACCAAAUCAGUCAUGUGAAGUGUGUACACAAGGAAAAUUCACUCAGACAAGAAAUAAGGAGCCAGACAGAAAGGCAAAGGAACCCUUAGAACUAGUCCCCACUGACUUAGCUAGCCCCAUGCCAACAUUGAGCACAGAAGGGUACAAAUAUACACAGUCUUUUACAGAAGACUACUCAGGUACCAUGUUAGUGUAUUUUCUGAAGUCUAAGGGUGACACGAUACAAGCCACUGAAAAGUUCCUAGCAGACAUAGCACCUUAUGGAGAAGUUAAGUGCAUCCGUUCAGAUAGCGUACUAAAUUUAUGAGUCGAGACUUUCAGGCACUGUUAACGAAAAAUAGGAUUAGACAACGAAACGUCUGCACCUUAUUCGCCCCACCAAAAUGCCACAACAGAGAGAGGUUGGAGAACCCUUUAUGAUAUGAGCAGGUGCCUACUGAUUGAAAGCAAGUUACCAGAUAAGUUAUAGAACUACGCUCUGCAGACAUCAGCUUACGUGAGGAACAGGUGCUAUAGUAGACGCACCAAGAAAACUCCAUACAAGUUGACUCACAGGAAAGAAGCCAGACAUUACUAAAAUGCAGAAAUUCGGAUCAAUAUGUUUUGCUUACAAACAAGAGAGGGGCAAAUUAAACUCUGGAUGUGAGCAAGGUAUUUUCAUUGGCUACGACAAAAACAGCCCAGCUUAUCCAGUGUUCUAUCCUAACACAGAGAAGGUCCAAAAGCGUAGGUUGGUGAGGUUCACAGCUAGGACAACUAAAGAAAGGGAAACACAAACACCCGAAUCACACACACAAUAUGGAGAGUUAUAUCCUAAGAUCAAUAGCAGUGAAGGAAAUGCUGAUGAAAAUGUGAAAAAUGUACCAGGUCAAGGUAUUCAAAGUGGUGUUUCUGAGACUUUGCCUGAAAAGACUGAAUGCACACAGCCAGGUAAAGUUACUGAAACUGUAAUUAGAAGGAACCCACCAAGAGCCAGGAGGAGGCCAGCUCAUCUACUUGAGACUGAGGAUAUGGAGGACAAGCUGCAAACAUGCAUAGACUUUUGUUACAAUGUUAUAAUAUAUGCGAUAUUCCUCAAACCUACUAGGAUACUGUAGCAUCAACCAAAUCAAGGCAAUGGAAAAAUGCCGUGGACAAAAAGAUGCAAUCAGUAGAGGAGAAUAAGUCACACUCACUUAGUUGUCACCAGGCAAACAGCAGAUGGGGGCAGAUGGAGCUACACAAUUAAAAGAGACAUUGAUGGAUCAGAAAAAUACAAGGCAAGAUUUGUUGCAAAGGCUACAGUCAGAAACCAGGAACUGACUAUGUCUAGGAGACAUUCUCACCCACAGCUGAUGUGAUAAGAGUGGUCAUGCAGAAGGCAGCACAAGACAAUUUAGUCAUAGUCACAAAAUUUAGAGACAGCUUAUUUGUGUGAGCCGAUUGACUGUGAAAUUUACAUGGAACAACCAGAGAGUUAUGAAAAAAAAGUCAGAGACGGGUGAAAAGCUAGUAUGCAAGUUAGAGAAAUCUCUCUAUGGCCUAAAGCAAUCAGGCAGAAACUGGAACGCUAUCGUACAUAUAUGUUUCAUUAAGAAUGGUUUUCCACAAAACCCAGCUGAUAACUGUGUGUACACAAGGGAAAGAUAUAAUGAAAAAAUGUGGGUUGAUGACCUGAUUAUAGCAGCUAACAGUAAAAGUGGUCUUAAAAAGCAUAAAGGGAAUGUUCACUGAAAGAUUCAAAAUGAAAGAAAUAAAUGUGGAGGUUGAAGUAUUUUCUAGGGAUAGAUUUUGAACAAGCAGAAGGUCUAGUUAAAAUGUCACAAGAGAGACAUGUGAGGAAAAUAGUAGAUAGAUUUGAGAUGCAAAAUUGCAAGUCUAGAGAGACUUCAUGUGAACUGAAACUUAUUCAGAAUAUGCUGAAAGAAUGAAAGAGCCAAGAAAGUACAGGGAUGCAGUAUGAAGUUUAAUCUACUUGUCCACUUGCACUCGACCAGAUAUAUGUUUUGUGGUCAGUAAAUUAUCCCAGCACUUUGCUGAACCUACAAAACAACACUGGAACACAGUAAAACACGUGUUCAGAUACCUCAAAGGUACAGCAGAAUGUAUGCUUCAAGAGAAAUGACAGAGAAACUAGUACUUCAGGAUACUGUGUCAGCCUAAGUGAAGGUAGUUCUUUGGUCUCAUAGAAAACUAGAAAACGGCCAACAGUAACAUAAUCUACUUGCAAAGCAGAAUACAUGUCCUUAGCAUCAGCCAUACAGGAAUGUAUCUGCUGAAAGGUAUGGAUACAUACCUAUAUGCAGAAACAAAAGUGUAUGAAGACAACCAAGGUACAAUAGCACUAGCCAGAAACCCAGUUUAUAGGCAAAGGUGCAAGCACUUUGACAUCAAGUACCACUUUAUAAAGGAAACUGUGAAUGAUGGCAAGGUAAUCUUGGAAUACUGUCCUACAGAGCAAAUGGUUGCUGACAUUAUGACAAAGCCAGCCACUAAGCUAAAGAUAAAGAGGUUUGCUCAAGACAUGUUUGGCACUUAAUAGUGUAAAGAGUGUAUGUUUACAUUGUUUAUGUGAAAGAGAAGCCUUAUUUGUUAUUUUGUUUUCAGGUAACUCAGUGAGCUAAGAGUGAGUGGGGGUGUUAAGUGUUGUACUCUUACUCAUUAGAUUACGGCAUCAGCUGAACUACAUCGUGUUUUAUUAAAGGUAUUAUGGUACAUUUGGGUGUGAAGUCAUUACGUUAUACAAUGCACUAUACAUAAAAAAAUAAAGUGUUCAUGUCAGAUGUACAGAGCCAGCUUUCUAAAUAAAUGUUCCAAAGAAUUGGAUAAUGAGACGUGUAACAUUUUGUUAGUUUUCUUACACGUGUUGAAAAGAACUGUGUACCUGAACUUAACACUGAUGUUUCUGAUGGUCUGUAUUUAAAGGAGUUCUACUAUUCAAUAAAUCACAUUUACAGACUUAGUAUUAUUGUAUAACCGCAAGCAUUUUAGGAUUCUUUACAUUUCUUUUUUGAAUUUACUUUUAUCAAGUCUCUUAGUUUAUUAUCCAGUGUAUUCAUGGGCAGAUUGGUAGAUUUGGGUGUUUGGUUGUUGUGCCUAUUUAGAUAACAGGUUUGUAAAGGCUCUGGAAAUAAAAAACUGCUGUUUGUGGCAUUAAUGAUGAUAUUGUGUGAUGAUAAACUAAUGAUGUGACCGCUGAUAAAAUGAGCAGUCUGGUUAGAAUACUCAGUUAGAGUGUAUACAUCCUUAUUAUAUCUCCUGUGUUCUGUAUACCAGUUCUGUACAUAAUGUCUGAUGCUCUUUCACUCUGAUAGAGUCUAGAGUCAGUAUUUACAGACACUGAACAGCUCUGAGCUGAUGAACAGCAUGGCCUUAUACCAGCACUCAUGAAGCACUGUUCACUCACUCAAAUUAGUGGACCACAACUACUUGCUGUAUAAUGAUGUUUCUGUCACUGUGGCUGGUUUACAGCAGGUAAAACUACACCUGAAUCACAGUGUGGACUGGAGUGUGAGAGGAUAAAACUACACCUGAAUCACAGUGUGGACUGGAGUGUGAGAGGAUAAAACUACACCUGAAUCACAGUGUGGACUGGAGUGUGAGAGGAUAAAACUACACCUGAAUCACAGUGUGGACUGGAGUGUGAGAGGAUACACACAGGACAUACCAUGACGUGAGGAUAAGUGUAACUGGUAACAGGACAAAGCACUGAAGUUAGAAUGUGUGAAAUAGGAGACACGAUCUAAACUGGACUUUAAUAUUGAUCAUAAAAAUAUUUAAUAUCAAAUAGAACCUGCAAAAGUAUUUAGAUAAAGUAAACAAAACAAGGACAAAAAAGCGGAAGUUGCUAAGGUGGUGAAAGUAACUAACUGGACACAUAUUUGCUACGACAUUUUUGUGAUAAGACUAACGUUUGCAUUUUUGUGUUAAUUUUCCUUUGCACUUUGUCUUUUAUUUUUGCAUGUUUCACUUUUUAUAUGAACAUGAAACAAAGACACAAAUCAAGGUUCAUAAAUAACUAAUAUUUAAACAGUUAAAUGACUAAAACACUUAGAGUGUAGCGGAAUAAAGUUCUCAGUGAACCCAAUAAACUGAGCUGGAGCUGCUGCAUGAUCACCAACACAUGAGGAAUAUCAUCACCUGAGGGUUUAAUCACUGAUCUUAAUGAUCUUAACUGAUCUCUAAUCUUCUGAAGAACCUCACAGUAAAGUUAGUUCCUGUUAAAUCUCACUGAAACUAAUCUUAAACACACACGUUGCCGGAGUCAGUAAGGGACCGUCUAAAAAGUGCAUGACAUGACAUGACAGGUCUAGUCAUCUAACUGUUAUAUUAGACUAGAAAUGCAGUAUUGAUACUGUACAGUGCCUUAAUACAAGUGUAAUAUUACUCUUACAUAAAAACUCUUACAGGAAAAGUAAAUCAUGAAUUUCAUAAAUGAAGAAAUUCAGGGAUGUAGAUUUUAACUUGUACAUAGUGUUAUAAGAAAUAUUACACAAUAAUUGCAGUAUGAGCUCAGUAAUAAAUCAUAUUAUACAAAUGGAUUUAUUGAAGGUUGCAGCAGGUCCUCGGUGGGAUGUUUGAUUUACAUUAAGUGCAAUAUAAUAUUAAACAUUUACAGUACAGUAAAACUUUAUUUUUCUAAAACAGAAGUUAGUACUCAGGGGUAUGACUACAAGUGUAAUGUCACAUAAAUGU